rnacentral:lncRNA from 1 species
CUUCAUCUCAAUGUUAGUCUAGACAACUAAAAAAUCUCCAGGCCCCUUGAAUUAGUGAUCAUGUCUCCUCUAUCACUGACCUUGGGGACAAUUUAGAUCAUUUUUGAUGCAAUCAGUGCUUUUCAUGCUGUCAAAUGUAAUGACAGCACAGCUCCAGUGAUGAUACCUGCUGAAGGUUGAUGCAGGAUUUGAUUUGCCAAGACAGACACAUUGCUACCGCGCACCAGCCAGCAAUCAGAAGAGGUAAUAGGAACAAAUUCCAGCAAGCUUCCCAGCAAAUUUCCAGCUAGCAAUGGCAGACAGAGGACAAACUCUUAGGCAAACUUUGUUCUCAGAGACAAUACAACAGUCAAAGCUGCGUUACCAACUACGGUUGUAGACUUCAAGAACAAUUCACCAUCCAUUCUUUAGAUAGACCUAAACGGUAGAGAUCUGUGAAAGAAAUAUCAGCUGAGGCAGGACACCAAUGGAUCUUCAAUCACCUCUCAAUGAUCUGCAGAAUUACCUCAAGUUCACUUCAGCACAUCUUACACACAGUUUUCCAAAAUGAAAAAAUGAAAGCUGACAUGUUCAAAAGUAAAGAACAUCUGAAAUGCGCACAUGGCUCACGCUUGAUGUUGACUGUCACUACAAGAAGCUUUUGCUUAAAAAGCAGCAUAAGAGCAUCAUUGAGAAUUACAAUAAAGGUAUGAUCAAGGCCAGAGAAAACUACUAGUGAGUUAAAAAAAACCCAAUACUGACAAAAUGAUGAUGUUGUCAUUGAACUCAGACUUCACAUCUUACGUAAUCCUGAUCACGUUCAGCCAAACAGUACAUAGAACGUCACAUAGCAACCUCAACAGAACACAGAAUUUGUUGCCAGGAUAAAGGCUGGAGAACUGUAGGAUUUUACAGGUCUUGCAUACGAACGCAUGUAUGAAAGCUGGGGGUUCUGUUAUACAUCUUAGUUGUUACAGUACUUACAAACAAUUCCACUUACCAAAUGUAUUAGACAAAAAUCAGCAGAGCUACCAAUGCUGUUGCGCACUCAAAAAAGCAUUGGGUUAUAAAUCCAUACAUCUUUUCCAGGUAACACCGUGCCUGUGGCUAUUGACAUCUACAGUCGACACCAAGGAGGAAAGUUUUCCUCAAAUAAAUACUUGGUUAAGCUAUUCUGAAGGCCUCGGGAUGGAUGUCUGAGAAGUGUCCCAGCAGCCAGCUUCCAUGCUUCAUCAGCCUCACUGCAAAGCGCCUGGUUUUUAAAUCCGCCUGACUACUCUGCGCCCAACUCUUUGUGUAAAACUGCUGAACACAUUCUGCCUCUGCUCACACUGCCUUCAAUAACACAUUUCCUCAGCUUGUCUUUAAGGAUGCCAUGGCAAACAGCACGCAAGCCUUCAGUGAAGCGCAGCUAAAGUACCCUGCAUUUACCAUCUCUCUCCUUCACAAGGUCUAUUGAUCUUAGAAGGAAAUUAGAACAGUAGGGCAAGAAUUCUUUUGGACAGAUCCACGCUAGCUGUUGACCACUGUGGUUCGAUUCUCUCCACUUGUUUUUUUCCUCAUUUUUCUAGGAGGGUGUUCACGUUCUUCAGUCUUCCCAAACUUCAGAGACUUAUAUUUCCUGAGGCCUGACUCUGAGAUGUGACAUUCACGGUGUCACACAAAGCAAGGAACAGAACCUGAAAACAGAGAGUUCCAACUCUCUGCUAGUUGCAUUUCCUUUAAACAUUUCUUCUCUUAAGUAUAUGCCAGCAAGCAUCGUAUGAUCUUCUAAAAGGGUGUACUGUGCAAGCCAUCUGGAUUAACAUUUCAACCACAUUAGGCUGCAAGAC